rnacentral:lncRNA from 10 species
AAACAGAGUCUUGCUCUGUCCCCAGACUGGACUGCAGUGGCGAUCUCAGCUCACUGCAACCUCCGACUCCUGGUUUCAAGCCAUUCUCUUGCCUCAGCCUCCCGAGUAGCUGAGGCAGGACAAUGGCGUAAACCCGGGAGGCAGAGCUUGCAGUGAGCCAAGACGGCACCACUGCACUCCAGCCUGGGCGACAGAGUGAGACUCUGCCUCAAAAAAAAUAAAAAUAAAAAUUUCAUUAGUGAUAAUACAGUGACAUGAAGUACUGAUGCCUUUACAGCACCUUCUUCAAAACCAACAGUUUUGUGCAAGAAAUGUA